rnacentral:rRNA from 1 species
CUUCCGCCGGCGACCGGCGCACGGGUGAGUAACACGUAUGCAACCUGCCCCUGUCAGGGGGACAGCCCGCCGAAAGGCGGGCUAAACCCGCGUACAUGCCACCGGGGCAUCCCGGAGGCAGGAAAGGCUUCGGCCGGACAGGGAUGGGCAUGCGGCGCAUUAGGCAGUAGGCGGGGUAACGGCCCACCUAACCGACGAUGCGUAGGGGUUCUGAGAGGAAGGUCCCCCACACUGGUACUGAGACACGGACCAGACUCCUACGGAAGGCAGCAG